AACGUCCUCGUGGGAUCCAAAUGUAGUUACACUGAUCUUGACGUGAAGCUCAUUUUUUCCUUUACACUGUAAAGUGCUGAUAAAUUUUGUUAUUUGUUGGCAAAUGCAGGAGUCUCUACCUCAGGACUAUGCCAGAAUCUUUGCUUUUGAUAAUCUCGCAAGGACUCAAAAGCUUGUACUCAAGCAAGCCCUGAAGAUGGAAGAAGAAAGCAGAGAUGAUUGUGUACCCACUGGAUCAUAUGUACGGCUGCAUAUUAAGGAAGUGCCUCUUGUUGCUGCCUCUAAACUAUCCUCCCUUGUGAGCUCGAAACCCAUUAUAGCAUUUGGGCUUUUACAGCAUGAAUCCAAGAUGUCAGUUCUGCACUUUAGGUAAUCACCAUCUUACUGUUUAUUGUUUUUGUUUGUUUGUUGAUGAGAUCUUGUUUCCUUAUCUAACUUCUCAUCCCCUUUUAACUGUCCUCCGCAGCCUUAAGAAGUAUGAUGGUUAUGAAGAUCCUAUCAAAACUAAAGAAGAACUUAUGUUCCAUGUUGGUUUCCGCCAAUUCGUUGCAAGGUUUGCAAAUUUGUUCCCAUUUCAUCUAAAGUGUAAUAUCUAUUCUUGCUUACAAUCUUCAAUAAUAAUGGCGGGGUUCCUGUUAAACUUUCCAGACCAGUGUUUUCAACCGACAAUUUCAGCUCAGACAAGCACAAGAUGGAGCGGUUUCUGCACCCGGGGCGUUUCUCAUUGGCUUCAGUAUACGGCCCGAUAUCUUUCCCAUCACUUCCUUUGGUAGUUCUGAAGAUUUCUGAAGUGUCGGAUGCUCCUGCCGUUGCUGCUCUUGGUUCCUUGAAAAGCAUUGAACCCAACAAAAUAAUCUUAAAGAAGAUAAUAUUAACUGGGUAAUUUUUUACUUAUUACCUUUCACUUUCCAGUUACAGCCGCAUAUUCUAGUUUACGUUCAUACCAAAGCUCUGUCAUGUGAACCGAGAAUACAAAUUAUAGUUUAAAGUAAUUUUAACCAGUUUUGAAUUUGGCUUGGUUCAGGUAUCCUCAGAGAGUAUCAAAGAUGAAAGCAUCAGUGAGAUAUAUGUUCCAUAACCCGGAAGACGUGAGAUGGUUUAAGGUAAGAAAGAGAAGGAAAAAUAUGGUGGAUUCAAUUAUUUGUCUAAAAUAAGAUAGUAAAAGCUAAAAGCUUGGGGAUGAAACAAUGUUUUUUUUAAUGUGCAGCCUGUAGAAGUGUGGUCUAAAUGUGGGCGUCGUGGUCGCGUGAAGGAGCCCGUGGGUACACAUGGUAAGACACUGUUUCUUAUUUUAAGGAGAGAGAGAGAUUUGAGUUUGGUUUGUAGAAUCUUUUUGCUUAUACAUGUGGACUUUGCACAGGGGCAAUGAAAUGCAUAUUCAAUGGAGUGGUGCAGCAACAUGACGUCGUGUGCAUGAACUUGUACAAGCGUGCUUAUCCCAAAUGGCCCGAGCGUAUGUACCCACAGCUUCUCUAAUUCUAAAUUAUAGAAUGGAGCUGAUGAUGAUGUUCAAGUUUCUCUGGAUCUGUGUUUAAAAAGGCGAUCGCCUUUUGCGCAAAGGCGCAAGGCGCAGUAAGGCGACGGUCCCACCGCCAUAGACCUUUAAGGCGAGGCUAAGUCCGUAAGGCGCUCGCCAUACUGCGCCUUUGGCUUAACUACAAUGCGCCUUAAGCGCUUCGAAAGCGUGCUUUGUAGUUUCUAUUAAAAACUACUUUCACCAAACCCUUAAAACAUCUUGAAAACCAUGUAACAACUACUCUGACCAACCCUUUAAAGACCCUUACAACAUGAAGCUUAGAUUUUUAGUUUUCAAGUUCUCUGUUUUAGUUAUUGGAUUUUAUCAAUGAGUAUAUAGGUGACUGUAUUAGUGUGUAUAUGACUAACUGGUAUAGCUGACUAUAUUAGAUUGUACACGACUCUAACUGUCUGAACUACUCUAUAACUAUCUUUUGUACAUAACCAUACAGUUAUAGUGUGUAGAGCUACCACGUACACAUGCUUCUAACCUAGGAAAACUAUCAAUGCAUUUCUAAGUUCCUCUGUAGCUCUAUACUACUAUUAUAUGUUUGAAUGUGUACUAUCUAUAAGGCGAGCGCCUUGGACCGCCAUGGCGCAAGGCGCAUGGCUCCAACCUCAUCGCCUUAGAGCGCCAUGCGCCUUUUAAAACACAGCUCUGGAUUCAUAUUCUUUACUUUGAUAACUUAUGGACCUGGUUACGUCAAUGUCCUCCAGUUUUGUCAUGUAUGUGAUAAUAUAAUAUGCUUUUUAUUCUUGGCUUCCCUUAUUUUUUAUCAGCGGAACUAAGUAAGCUAUAAAAAAGUUGAAGUCAUCAGCUAAAACCACAAUCCAAACAUAAGACCGAUCAUUAAAAAAAAAGCAAACGAUUAUAUGCGAGGCCUGAUUCGAGUGACAUGUCACUUUGUGAUUGUCGAUCAGUUGUCGGAGAUACGAAAAAGGUUAAACUCAUGAACUUUGUUUAGUAAUGGAACUCUGAGCCAUUUGAAGCUCCUUUUGAAGCCAAUUGCUCAUUUUGCAAUGAGCACAUAGCCCUAAAAUGCAGGAAUACAAUCCGAAUCAUGUUACACCGAGCGAAUCAUGUUACACCGAGAGAAAUUUGUUGCAUGAUUCUCACUCAUGUUAAUUGCCAUUCGUUGCAAUAACAUUAUUAUUAUUAUUUAUUUACUUUUGAUAAAUCCUAUCAGCUGAUCCGGUCGGCACCGGAAGACGCGCACUUUAGUGCUAUAGAGUGGACUAGCCCGAAAGCGUACCACACUGUCUAAUCCGAAUUUGGAAUAUCUUCUGACUAAUGACAGGGGUGGACCAAUCAUCUGUUAUAGUCCACCAUGUAAAGCACUUGGACCGAAGCCCAAGCCGAGACUGACCAAGUAGAGAUUAUUUAGUUUCCAGAGAAAAUCGAACCCAAAACUAAUAUGAGUAUACACCAAACCCUAAGAGAUUGCCACUAGGCUUACCACCAUUUGGUUUCCUUGCAAUAACAUGCUUUUGAGUUUUGGUUUCCUUAUGACAAGAAUCGUUGGUGCCUGUUAAAGACUUGGAGUCCAAUAAGAUAAACAAAGAGCAUUUUGCGAGACAAUGGCCCUCGAGUUUGGGAAGAUUCUUCUCAGGGUGAGGAGAAGGUUUUAGCCUUUUAAUCAUAUAAGGGUACAUUCUACCUAGUUGACUAUAUCUUGACUGUAUAUUGACUUUAAAGUUAAAACUCUUAAUAUAAAAGGGUAUAUUCAUUUCAUUGCAAAAGCUUUUGUUGAUACGAACAUGUUUAACUUUACUUCAUAUUACGUUCAGGACAAGUCUACAGGUCCUGUGACUAAAGAGGAGCUUGGGAAGGCUACUUGGACAUUUCUGCACACACUUGCUGCCCAGGUUGAUUUCUAUUUCCUUUUAACUUUCUCAGUUUAAUAGUUGUUUUUGAACUUUGGUUGAACACUUGAUGCAUGAGGUAUGAACAGGCUUAGUGGUGAUUUUUGUUGGUUUUUGCUGGGCAUAAAGAUAGUUGAGAAUGCUCUUUGAUUGACUUUUUGUUCUUGCUUUCGGUUUCUCUCUGUUCAUUGAUUUACAGACUGAAACAAAUAAAGGAAUCUGAUUCAGUCUCAUGUUUCUUAUCUUACUACAUUGGAUUUGACCUCUAGCAGUUUCUAAGUGUAUCUUUGUGAAUUGGUUGAAACUCAGGUAUGUAUUCUGAAUCAGAUGCUUUUUCUUUUCCUUUUCUCAUCAGUAUCCAGAAAAGCCAACAAGGCAGCAAAAGAAGGAUAUAUUAAAGAACUGGUAAAAAUCUUCUAGCCCUAGUGUAUUAUCCCUAUUUAAUUUUUAGACAGUCAGUUUAUCAGAUCAAGUUGAAAUUGGUAGUAAUGCUAGAAUUUUCAGCUUGGAACUUCUAAAAUAUAUUAAAGCUUAACCUCUUCUACAAGUUAUUCUUUCUGAAAAUUCACCUAUUGUGUGCCGCUCCAAUUGUGUAGACAUGGCCAACUGAGGCAGAGAUGGCUGAGGCGGACAGAAAUCAGAAACAGGGAAAGCUAAAGAAGAGGACUUUGCCACGAGGGAUGUCAGAAUAUCAGGUUUGUAGAUGAUUUUAGCCCCAUUUUUAACUAUUCCUGUCUCUGGUGGAAUUGUCCUCCACAAUAUUUCACAUUUCGCUGACCCUCUUAUUUUUUAUUGUUUAUGAUUUGAUUCGCAGGCUGCUUGGAUUGUCGAUGAAAUAGAUGAAGAGGAUUCUGAUAAUGGUGAUUCCGAUGAUGAUGGUAUGGUAUUGGAUAAAGAAGAGGAUCACUUCUCCAAUCAAGACCAAGAUUUUGAGGACGAUAAAGAAACACUGCGGGAUGUGGAUAAUGAAACUUAUAACGACUCCGAGAUGAUGGUAAGCUUUUCCUCCAUGUACUGCUUUUAUAUUAAGAUUGAGUAUCUUGCCAAAGUCAUAAGCCAAUCUGCUCAUGGUUCAGGAUGAUGAAAACUUGACAAGGGAGCAGUAUGAGGAUCAAAUGAAGAAAAUAAAAGAGGCACAUGCCGAGGAUGAGGGUUGGUCAAAACGUUUUACUUUUGUAGAUUUAUUUUCUCUGUGGGCCAUAUAUGUCUGUGUGUGUGGUGCACAUAUUCAUUUUGAGUCCUUGUAGAGUAUCUGAAUCUCUCAAGUCCUCAUUGAUUUCUACUUUUACUUGUUCUUCAGAAUUUCCUGAUGAAGUAGAGACUCCCAUUGAUCAGCCUGCAAGAAAACGUUUUGCAAAGUAUAGGGGUCUCAAAUCCUUCAGAACGUCCUCGUGGGAUCCAAAUGUAGUUACACUGAUCUUGACGUGAAGCUCAUUUUUUCCUUUACACUGUAAAGUGCUGAUAAAUUUUGUUAUUUGUUGGCAAAUGCAGGAGUCUCUACCUCAGGACUAUGCCAGAAUCUUUGCUUUUGAUAAUCUCGCAAGGACUCAAAAGCUUGUACUCAAGCAAGCCCUGAAGAUGGAAGAAGAAAGCAGAGAUGAUUGUGUACCCACUGGAUCAUAUG
rnacentral:lncRNA from 1 species